UGAAGGGCUGACUUGAAGCACAUUUGCAUUCGAGUGCAGAUCAGAAGGACCCGCAGACAAGGAGCCCAGGUCAGCUGUGUGAGGCCAGCUCCGCUCCGGAUGUGCAUCCCUGCUUGGAGCUUCUGCCUGAUGCAGGCUUAAUAUAUUCCCUGCACAGUUUUGUCCCAUUAUUCCUAGUUAAACUCUCCUGGAUCACCCAGAACAUGAGGAAUGCGCAGCAGCUUCCCACAGCACAGCAUAAUUAGCUGCUUCAAAAACUACCUGCAAAGAGUGAUGCCCUCAUUAUGCCGAGCAGAGGAGGGUUUGGUGGGGCGAGAUGUCUCCAGGAAGGAGAUGCAUUUCUCUUCAGAGCAAGAACAAGAGGCAGCCAUGGCCCUCCUGCCGUCCUCUUCAUCACUGGUUUCCUCAGGAGUCUGAAGGCACCUGGCAGAGCCCCAUGAUGGAAGCAAACACCUUGGAGCAUCCAUUCGCUCAUGGUGGUUAAAGUAAAGCCUCCUGGUUCGUGUGCUGCAGGAAAUAAGCCAGGAAAUAGCCAGCAGUGUUGUUUUAAAAUGCUUUAUUUGCUGUUUUGCUCCAAAACAGACAUGGGGGGGUCUGCUUUCAUCAGCCCUGGUGGUGGAGGUUCCUGAGAGCCCAUCACAUUCCCAGCCAUCCUUGGCUGGAGUCCUUCCCUGCCACCGUGGGUAGAACAAGCCUGGUUCUUCAGUUGUUCUUUAUUCUCUGAUAAAACAAAGAAACCAGCCUCGGGUUGAGAGCCAGCCUUGAUUUGUUCCCACUUUAUUUCUGGAAUCCAGAGCUGGCCAAGGAGUCUCCAGUGCCUGCCUGUCUGAUCACAACAACCCUUGAUGUUCCUGCCGCAUUUCUCAUCGAGGAUCUCCGAGUGCUCUGCAAACAAAAACUCAAUAAGCCUCCUGUGAACCCUCUGGGGAAAACACCUGCAUGGUCCUGGUGCAGGUGGCACACGAGUUCCUCCCUCUCCCAGGGGCUGCGGUGUCACUCGCCUGUGAAUAGAAAUAAAACCAGCAGAUGGUGCUGGAGAAUGUCCACCUUGGGGCCUGCAGGUACGGCCUGAGCCCAUCCCUGGAGGAUGUCCCGGGCUGGAAUAUCCGUCGGGAGCAAGGGCUGCCCGUGGCUGAUGGGGAGGAGGAUGGAAAGGAGGAAAAUUGGGCAUCUCCAGGCCUGUUCCUGCCUGUUG